rnacentral:rRNA from 1 species
GUGGGGAAUAUUCCGCAAUGGACGAAAGUCUGACGGAGCAACGCCGCGUGAGUGAUGAAGGUUUUCGGACUGUAAAGCUCUGUUGUUUAGGACGAAAGUGCCUGUUGCGAACAGUUACAGGUAUUGACGGUACUAAACGAGGAAGCCACGGCUAACUACGUGCCAGCAGCCGCGGUAAUACGUAGGUGGCAAGCGUUGUCCGGUAUUAUGGGGCGUAAAGAGCAUGUAGGCGGAGAUUUAAGUCUGUUGUGAAAAUGCGGGGCUCAACCCCGUAUUGCGAUGGAAACUGAAUUGCUUGAGUGCAGGAGAGGAAAGGUGAAUUCCCAGUUUAGCGGUGAAAUGCGUAGAUAUUGGGAGGAACACCAGUGGCGAAGGCGCCUUUCUGGACUGUGUCUGACGCUGAGAUGCGAAAGCCAGGGUAGCGAACGGGAUUAGAUACCCCUGUAGUCC